UACGUAGGGUGCAAGCGUUAAUCGGAAUUACUGGGCGUAAAGCGUGCGCAGGCGGUUCGUUGUGUCGGCGGUGAAAGCCCCGGGCUUAACCUGGGAAUGGCCGUUGAAACUGGCGAACUGGAGUGUGGCAGAGGGGGGUGGAAUUCCGCGUGUAGCAGUGAAAUGCGUAGAGAUGCGGAGGAACACCGAUGGCGAAGGCAGCCCCCUGGGCUAACACUGACGCUCAGGCACGAAAGCGUGGGGGAGCAAACAGG
rnacentral:rRNA from 1 species